GUGCUUCAGGGAUUAACAAGUCCAUUAAAAGUAAUCAUCACCCAUCCAAUUCCCCAUUUCAAAUGUCUUUUGGAUUUCUUGAUGAACAAUAGGUGGAAAAUGC
rfam:Populus trichocarpa isolate Nisqually-1 chromosome 4, whole genome shotgun sequence.